rnacentral:lncRNA from 1 species
GACAUGCUCUGAUUCUCGGCGAUCUCAGAGUUUCUUGCGUCAGGGACUUAUGGCUUCUCGCUGCUUUCUCCGUCGACUUGCUUAUCUGAAGGACCAGGUGAUCUGCCACAAAUGCUCUUGGCGUCUUCAGAGUUUCUUGAAUCACCGUCCUCUGCCUACCCCCCUUGCCUGAACUGGCGAGCUUGGCUAGCAAGUCAGCUCGGGCAUUCUGCUCUCUGGGCACAUGCACUACUUCAAAGGAGGCAAAGGAACUCUUA